CUCUUUAUCUUUCUCUUUAAAUUUUUCGUUUACCUGUUGUUUCCUUACAGCAUCACGUCGUUGGUCUUCUGGCCUUCUUCAGGCUUACGCAGCCAAGGCUGUCUCGCAGGAAGAUUUCUUCAGAAACCACCCCUGGGCCUCACUGAAAACGUGUGGGUUAGGUGUCCCAUCGCAGCAGUGGUCCAGGAACAGUCUAGGAAAACAUUCCGCCUUUUCCGAAGACCGUGACCUUCUACAGUGA
rnacentral:lncRNA from 1 species